AUUGAACGCUGGCGGCAUGCCUUACACAUGCAAGUCGAACGGUAACGGGCCUUCGGGUGCCGACGAGUGGCGAACGGGUGAGUAAUGUAUCGGAACGUACCUUUCAGUGGGGGAUAACGUAGCGAAAGUUACGCUAAUACCGCAUAUUCUGUGCGCAGGAAAGCAGGGGAUCGCAAGACCUUGCGCUGAUUGAGCGGCCGAUAUCAGAUUAGCUAGUUGGUGAGGUAAAGGCUCACCAAGGCGACGAUCUGUAGCGGGUCUGAGAGGAUGAUCCGCCACACUGGAACUGAGACACGGUCCAGACUCCUACGGGAGGCAGCAGUGGGGAAUUUUGGACAAUGGGGGCAACCCUGAUCCAGCCAUGCCGCGUGAGUGAAGAAGGGCUUCGGGUUGUAAAGCUCUUUCGGCCGGGAAGAAAUCGUAUCAGCUAAUACCUGGUGCGGAUGACGGUACCGGCAUAAGAAGCACCGGCUAACUACGUGCCAGCCGCCGCUGUAACAC
rnacentral:rRNA from 1 species